AAAAAUUUAGUUAAACCCCCCAUAACAUUAGCUUGUCAAGCUAAAAUUAUUAGAUUAAACCUAAUAAUUUUUA
rnacentral:tRNA from 1 species